CUUCCUCAGCCUUACUCCAGGGGCUUUUAUGCCUGUGUAGUGCCCUGGCAUUGCCUGAGGAGAAAUUAAAAGUAUGCUCAUAUCCCUCCCCAGUAGGAUUUUACAUUUCCUUUGGGGCCUACAAUUUGAGCAAACAUU
rnacentral:snoRNA from 1 species